rnacentral:tRNA from 1 species
GUUUUUAUAGUUGAAUUACAACAAUGGCUUUUCGAGUCAUAGGUCUCGGGUAAAGUCCGAGUAGGAACU